rnacentral:rRNA from 1 species
UGACGUUAGCGGCGGACGGGUGAGUAACACGUGGAUAACCUACCUAUAAGACUGGGAUAACUUCGGGAAACCGGAGCUAAUACCGGAUAAUAUAUUGAACCGCAUGGUUCAAUAGUGAAAGACGGUUUUGCUGUCACUUAUAGAUGGAUCCGCGCCGCAUUAGCUAGUUGGUAAGGGAACGGCUUACCAAGGCAACGAUGCGUACUCGACCUGAGAGGGUGAUCGGCCACGCUGGAACUGAGACCCGGUCCAAACUCCUACGGGAGGCAGCAUUAGGGAAUCUUCCGCAAUGGGCUAAAGCCUGACGGAGCCACCCCGCGUGAGUGAUGUAGGUCUUCCGAUCGGAUCACUCUGUUAUUAGGGAAGAACAAAUGUGUAACUAACUAUGCUCGUCCUGACGUGACCUAAUCAGAAAGCCACGGCUAACUUCGUGUCAAUGGCCGCGUUACUACAUCGGUGGCCAGCGUUAUCCGGAAUUAUUGGGCGCUAACCGCGCGUACGCCUGUCUUUAAUCCUGAUUUCAAAGCCCACGGUCUUCACCCUGGAUGGUCCUUGUAAAUUAGAAAACUUGAGUCCGGAGGAGGAAAGUGUAACUCCAUG